CUUGGCGACCAUAGCGUUUUGGACCCACCUGAUUCCAUCCCGAACUCAGAAGUGAAACGAAACAGCGUCGAUGGUAGUGUGGGGUAACUCUUCAAUUAAAAGUUUUUUGAAGC
rnacentral:rRNA from 1 species